CAGCAGCCGCGGUAAUACGUAGGAUCCGAGCGUUAUCCGAAUUCACUGGGCGUAAAGCGCUUGCAGGCGGCGAGGUAAGUUGGAUGUAAAAUCUUCUGGCUCAACUGGGAGAUGCCGUUCAAGACUGCCUGGCUAGAGGGCGAUAGAGGGAGGUGGAAUUCCCGGUGUAGUGGUGAAAUGCGUAGAUAUCGGGAGGAACACCAGAGGCGAAAGCGGCCUCCUGGAUCGCAACUGACGCUGAGAAGCAAAAGCUAGGGGAGCAAACGGGAUUAGAAACCCCGGUAGUCCUAGCUGUAAACGAUGUAGACUGGGUGUUGGUGGAGUAAAAUCUAUCAGUACCGUAGCAAACGCGCUAAGUCUACCGCCUGGGGACUACGGCCGCAAGGUUAAAACUUAAAGGAAUUGACGG
rnacentral:rRNA from 1 species